GACGAACGCUGGCGGCGUGCUUAACACAUGCAAGUCGAACGAGUGGCGAACGGGUGAGUAACGCGUAUCAACCUGCCCUUCAGAGGGGGACAACAGUUGGAAAGGACAGCUAAUACCGCAUAUUAUUCGAGCGGCCGAUGUCUGAUUAGCUGGUUGGCGGGUUAAAGGCCCACCAAGGCGACGAUCAGUAGCGGGUCUGAGAGGAUGAUCCGCCACACUGGGACUGAGACACGGCCCAGACUCCUACGGGAGGCAGCAGUGGGGAAUUUUGGACAAGGGGCGCAAGCCUGAUCCAGCCAUGCCGCGUGUGUGAAGAAGGUCUUCGGAUUGUAAAGCACUUUAAGUUGGGAGGCGUUACCAACAGAAUAAGCACCGGCUAACUUCGUGCCAGCAGCCGCGGUAAUAC
rnacentral:rRNA from 1 species